AGACCCAUAGUGUAACGGUAGCACUCCGGUUUUUGGUACCGUCAGUUGGGGUUCGAAUCCCUAUGGGUCUA
rnacentral:tRNA from 1 species